GGACGAACGCUGGCGGCGUGCCUAACACAUGCAAGUCGAACGGAACUGUUUUGAAAGAUUUCUUCGGAAUGACUUUGAUUUAGUUUAGUGGCGGACGGGUGAGUAACGCGUGAGUAACCUGCCUUCAAGAGGGGAAUAACAUUCUGAAAAGAAUGCUAAUACCGCAUGACAUAUCGGAACCACAUGGUUUUGAUAUCAAAGAUUUUAUCGCUUGAAGAUGGACUCGCGUCCGAUUAGUUAGUUGGUGAGGUAACGGCUCACCAAGACCGCGAUCGGUAGCCGGACUGAGAGGUUGAACGGCCACAUUGGGACUGAGACACGGCCCAGACUCCUACGGGAGACAGCAGUGGGGGAUAUUGCGCAAUGGGGGCAACCCUGACGCAGCAACGCCGCGUGAAGGAUGAAGGUUUUCGGAUUGUAAACUUCUUUUAUUAAGGACGAAAAAUGACGGUACUUAAUGAAUAAGCUCCGGCUAACUACGUG
rnacentral:rRNA from 1 species